rnacentral:rRNA from 1 species
UACGUAGGGUCCGAGCGUUGUCCGGAAUUACUGGGCGUAAAGAGCUCGUAGGUGGUUUGUCGCGUUGUUCGUGAAAACUCACAGCUCAACUGUGGGCGUGCGGGCGAUACGGGCAGACUGGAGUACUGCAGGGGAGACUGGAAUUCCUGGUGUAGCGGUGAAAUGCGCAGAUAUCAGGAAGAACACCCGUGGCUAAGGCGGCUCUCUAGUACGGUACUGGACGCUGAAGACGCGAAAGCGUGGGGAGCAAACAGG